AUUGAACGCUGGCGGCAGGCCUAACACAUGCAAGUCGAGCGGAUGAAGGGGGCUUGCUCCUGGAUUCAGCGGCGGACGGGUGAGUAAUGCCUAGGAAUCUGCCUGGUAGUGGGGGAUAACGUCCGGAAACGGGCGCUAAUACCGCAUACGUCCUGAGGGAGAAAGUGGGGGAUCUUCGGACCUCACGCUAUCAGAUGAGCCUAGGUCGGAUUAGCUAGUUGGUGGGGUAAAGGCCUACCAAGGCGACGAUCCGUAACUGGUCGGAGAGGAUGAUCAGUCACCUGGGAAGUGGGACGCGGUCCAGACUCCUGCGGGAGGCAGCAGUGGGGAAUGUUGGACAGUGGGCGAAAGCCUGAUCCAGCCAUGCCGCGUGUGUGAAGAAGGUCUUCGGAUUGUAAAGCACUUUAAGUUGGGAGAAAGGGCAGUAAGUUAAUACCUUGCUGUUUUGACGUUACCAACAGAAUAAGCACCGGCUAACUUCGUG
rnacentral:rRNA from 1 species